UAUUCAUGGACUAGCUGCACUUUAUUAUAUUACUAAUUUUUAAAGUCAAGAAUAUUGCUACCAGUGAUGAUUUUGUAACUUUCUAUAGUUUUCAUAUUUAGUCAAAGAAUGAGGUUUCUUAUUUGAUGAUACUAUCGAAAGGAUAUGGCCAUGUGAUUCUCACCCUUUUCUUCUAUAUUCCCUCAACUUCUGGAUAUUCUUUCGAGUCGGCAAAGCUUUGAUAAAAGAAUAAUACCCCUUUUGAUCACAGUGUUGCUCAUGUGUUAAUCUCUUGGGUGUACUUCACAUUAUCUAGUUAUUCGUGGGUUGUUUCAUACAGAAUUUAGUUUAUGAAAAUAGUUUUUCCUCAUUCUUCAUUAGACAACAUGAAGUGUUAUUAAACGACAUCGACGUUACCAUAUAAGAGAUAACCUCCAAUAGAUAAAUGAUUCACGUUUGCGAACAGAACUCAUGGUGACUUCACGAAGGCUGGAAUGAGGUUAUUAGGUGGAAAAGGAUCUUUGCUGUCUAUGAUUAAGCUCAUCUUAUGAUUGGUAUUCUUCGUUCUUUCUGGAGUUGCCGAGUCCAGGACUUACUUUGGUUUGUAUAACUGAUGGAUACUACAGGGCCUGUCUGGACUAGUGAUUGGUGAAUUCUCAUUCUAGAGGCUUGUAGACGGUUAUUGUUGUGGGUCAGGUAGUCGGUUAUAGUCCAAUUGUCCCUAUGUUAUACUUUUGUUAUAUUUGUGUUAUCUUCAUUAUGCUUUUUUCUUUUAAAAUUCAACUUGGCUUAAAUAGUCCACUAAUGUUAUUUGGAUGUAUUUCGAUUGAAUAAUUAAGUGUGGUAUAAGGUGUUAGUCGCACCUCUAUGGUUUUGGGGUGUGACAUAUGCUUA